CCUACGGGAGGCAGCAGUGGGGAAUAUUGCACAAUGGGGGAAACCCUGAUGCAGCGACGCCGCGUGAGUGAAGAAGUAUUUCGGUACGUAAAGCUCUAUCAGCAGGGAAGACAAUGACGGUACCUGACUAAGAAGCCCCGGCUAACUACGUGCCAUCCGCCGCUGUAAUACGGAGGCUGCGAGCGUUAUCCGGAUUUAUGGGGUUUAAAGGGUGCGCAGGCGGAGGUGCCAGUCAGCGGUCAAAUUGCGGGGCUCAACCCCGUACUGCCGUUGAAACUGCAUCCCUUGAGUGCGCGAGAAGUAUGCGGAAUGCGUGGUGUAGCGGUGAAAUGCAUAGAUAUCACGCAGAACUCCGAUUGCGAAGGCAGCAUACCGGCGCGCAACUGACGCUCAUGCACGAAAGCGUGGGUAUCGAACAGGAGUAGAUACCCGACUAGUC
rnacentral:rRNA from 1 species